AUGGUUGUAGAAAGUGACUUGAUGGAUACCGGAGAUUCAGAAGGGGCAGGGUGGGAGAUGGAGAAAGAUAAAAAACAAAUUAAGGACUAUAGGGACCCGGGUGGCCAGCUGGGCUCUGAGCGGAGAAGGGUCAGGACGGACGAGGACGUGCUGAGCACCCUGAAGAUUCUCAUCAUCGGCGAGAGUGGGGUGGGCAAGUCCAGCCUGCUCUUGAGAUUCACAGAUGAUACUUUUGAUACAGAACUUGCAGCAACAAUAGGUGUUGACUUUAAGGUGAAAAUAAUUUCAGUGGAUGGAAAUACGGCUAAACUUGCAAUAUGGGUUACUGCUGGUCAAGAGAGGUUUAGAACAUUAACUCCAAGCUAUUACAGAGGUGCACAGGGUGUUAUAUUAGUUUACGAUGUCACAAGAAGGGAUACCUUUGUUAAACUGGAUAAUUGGCUAAAUUAAUUGGGAACAUACUGUACAAGAAAUGACAUAGUAAACAUGCUCGUUGGAAAUAAAAUUGAUAAGGAAAAUCGUAAAGUCGAUAGAAAUGAAGGCCUGAAGUUUGCACGAAAGCAUUCCAUGUUAUUUAUAGAGGCAAGUGCAAAAACGUGUGAUGGUGUACAAUGUGCCUUUGAGGAACUUGUUGAAAAGAUCAUUCAGACGCCAGGACUAUGGGAAAGUGAGAACCAGAAUAAAGGAGUCAAACUGCCACACAGUGAAGAAGGCAGUGGAGGCGGGGCCUGUGGCGGUUAUUGUUCUAUGUUAUAAACUCUGGGAAAUUCCAUCCUGCUCUUGCAUAUUUGAUCAGAUAGUGUCAUCUUUCUGUAUAUAAACUCUUUAAUUGCUAUUUUAGGGACCUUGCAGUUUGCACAUAAUUAUUUUGUAUCAUGGCAGUAAAUAUUUGCAAGAAAUCCCACUCAUCGGCUUUCCCAAGUGAAACGUGAGAGAACGCAUGCACAGUCCGCGAUAUUUUUAUGUAACAUAAAAUAGGUGUACCUUUUAAGUACAUUUGAUUUUAUGAUUUACAUUUAUCAUGUAACUAAAAAGUCCAUCUACUAUCUGGUAUAUGUUGACACAAGGUCCACUUUUGGUCUUUUUGCUUAAAUUCUAUCAGUUACUGAAUCACUUGGUAUACAUAGAACUCCCAGAACCACA